rnacentral:snRNA from 1 species
UUACUUACUUGGCAGGGGAGACACCAUCAUCAGGCAGGUGGUUUUCCCAGGGCAAGGCUCAUCCCCUGCACUCCGGCUGUGCUGACCUCUUGUGAUUUCCCCAAAUGCAGGAAACUCAACCACUAAAGC